AUGCAACAGGUUGUUUCAGGCGAGCAGAUAUGGAAAACUGGGCCCAGAUGUGCUCCUGCAGUGCUGGUAAAUCUCGUAAAGGAGCUGUUUUAUUGGCUGCUGUCACAACUGUGCAGGGAGGAUGAAGAUGUUUCCUUUUAUGUUAUCUAUGUUUUUAUUUCCAUUCUGCGCUGUAUGUUUGUUGUAAUCUGGGUUUUAAUUUUCUGUCCGUGCACGUGUCAGUGUGGGAGACCCGUGACAUUCCUGGAUAAGUUUUUAAGCUGUGAUUACAAGGACAAAGGAACUGCAGGCGGUACUCAGCAGCACCGGGUAGAAGAGCAACAUAAUGGUGCUGUAUCAAGUUCACAACCCAUAAAUUCUUUUGACCAUUAAAGGUACUGUACUGUGCAAAAGUCUCGAGCCAUUUCUUUGUAGGUUGCUAGGGAAAAAGUGGAAAAAUGUGCAGUGAUUUAUUGAAAAAUGUGGUGCAAACAUAUGUGGGAAUACAGUAUAUCAGGGAAAAACUGAGUAUACAAUUUGAUAUCUUGGUGUGACCACUUUAUUCUUCAACACAGCCUGAACUUUCUGACCAGCCUGAGCGCCUCCGCACACGCUGACGAUGAUUUGAAUCAAAAUGUACAAUUUGGAUUCCCUCCAUUAGACCUGUUGCCCGGAUUUUAAGUUCAGUUCUUGUGUAAUUUGGCUUACCACAGCCCUUUCUCCUGUUUCCCCUCCUUAAGAAUGGCUUCUUGACAGCCACCCUUCCACUGAGACCAUUUCUGAUGGAGCUUCAGUGAUUGAAGGGCCAGAUGCCGAUCUCAGGUCCUCUGCUGGACUUGUUUUACCUACUCCUUAAGGACAUGAUUCCACACACUGUUCAUCUCCUGUAGAUAAUUUAUUAAGCCUGUAAGUGCUUCUUUUGUCCUCCACUGUCCAGUUUUCUUUCUUUAAGGACACUGCACAGAAUGCUGAGAUAUGCCGAGUUUUCAGCUAAUAGCUCUUUGGGAUCUCUGCAUCACCUUGUUGCUGCAAAAUUGCAGUUUUUUUUUCCAACCAAACUGUUUUAUCUUUGACAUUUUUGUAGACUCAGCUGAAAAAUUUGGAACAAAUCCU
rnacentral:lncRNA from 1 species